rnacentral:tRNA from 1 species
GUGUAUAUAGUUCAGUGGUAGAGCGUGUGCUUAGCAUGCACCACAUCCUGGGUUCAAUUCCCAGUAUCUCCA